GGAACACUCCUGGAAAGGGAGAUGUGUCCUCAUUCAUCAUCGGGAGAGUUGGUUUCAGCUGUGCUGACCCACCUAGGACAGCUAUGUGUGUGGGGGAAAGGGAUACCAUUUAUUCAGAGCAGAGUUCUAUGGGCAUGUCCACUAUUCAGUGGUUUGGUCUUAAGGUGCCUGAGAGGAAGUCCCCUUUGAUGUCCUCCCCACAGUGUUAAAAGUAGAUCAAGGGUCCCUGAAAAUCAAGGGUCCUAUGGAUCCUUCUGCACCUUUUGACAAAGCUAUGAACACUCAUUUGCCACAUACUUUGCUAUUCCGGGACAAGAGGGCAACCUUCAGAAUUUGGAGCACCCAAGCAAGGGAUAAACUUUCCAAAAGAAGUAUUUAAGCAACAGAGAAUAUCUUCUAGAGAGAACUUCAGAGGCACUGGCAAAAGAAAGAAAUGAGCACCUAUCAUGGGUCCAAGAAGCUGGUGUACUGUGCUGAUGUUAUUAGAUGGAUACCCUGUGGAUGAUCAUGUCUGGGAACUCCUAUGGUCCAACUUCUUGUCCUGAGUUCUAAGAAUGAGUUUAUCUGAUCCUCUACAGUUAUAAUCCUGAGCAGAGGAACCUGUUCUGAACAUGGCUUCUGUCUACCAUAGCAGACUUCUCAACAGGACUGGAAAACCCAAAAUCUUUUCAUUGCACUGAAGAUUAAGUCACCUUACUUGUCUACCUCUGUACUGUUUAGAAUCUCUUGCUGUCUAUUUAGUUAAGUUCAACAGUAUUUACUGGACCUUUAGGGCAUAGAGCUGGACCCAGGAAAUACAAAUAGAUGAAAACACAAUCACUGUCCUUAGAUGUUCCCAGACUGUAAAGCGGUCAAACUCCAGAGUAAGGAUGAGGAUGUGAAUCAAACAAUGAACGGGGAAUAAAUGGGGUGACAAGAGGGUUAGGAGGCUCAGCUGUCUAGCAGACAAGGUUGUAUGGAAGGGGACAAAGUAUCAGGAAGACUAGGUAGCCUCCAGGGAUGACCCCAGAACUGAAGAGGGGAAGGUGGCAGCUCAGGGUUCUCUACCAGCUUGCUGGAUGAAACCUAACUUCACCUUCAUGACUCACUCAGAUUCCAUGUAUAACCCCAGGGUCAGGGGCCAGGAUUAGCUAUGAAGUGCACUCUUACCCAGGAGCCUAUUAAAGCACUUUGCAUCUUUCCGGGAAGGGAGUAGAAAAGACAAACUUUUCUCUUGUCUUUUUGAGGCUACAUCUGAGGGAAGAGAAUCUGGAGGGGUCCACUUGAUGUUGCUUAGUAACAAGAGGAGGUUGUGACUCCACAAUGCUGUUUGUUGAGGCAGCACCUGACCUGCUACUCUUUUAUCCUUUCUGCUAUUUCUUCUCUAUAAGAGAAAUCUGUCCCUUGCCAUUAUCAGUCUGC
rnacentral:lncRNA from 1 species